rnacentral:rRNA from 1 species
UGAGGAAUAUUGGUCAAUGGUCGGGAGACUGAACCAGCCAAGCCGCGUGAGGGAUGAAGGUACAGAGUAUCGUAAACCUCUUUUGUCAGGGAACAAAAGGCGCCACGUGUGGCGCUCCGAGUGUACCUGAAGAAAAUGCAUCGGCUAACUCCGUGCCAGCAGCCGCGGUAAUACGGAGGAUGCGAGCGUUAUCCGGAUUUAUUGGGUUUAAAGGGUGCGUAGGCGGCGAGUUAAGUCAGCGGUAAAAUGCCCGGGGCUCAACCCCGGCCCGCCGUUGAAACUGGCUUGCUUGAGUUGGAGAGAAGUAGGCGGAUGCGCGGUGUAGCGGUGAAAUGCUUAGAUAUCGCGCAGAACUCCGAUUGCGAAGGCAGCCUACCGGCUCCACACUGACGCUGAGGCACGAAGGCGUGGGUAUCGAACAGGAUUAGAUACC